rnacentral:rRNA from 1 species
UGGUGGGUAGUUUGACUGGGGCGGUCUCCUCCUAAAGAGUAACGGAGGAGCACGAAGGUUGGCUAAUCCUGGUCGGACAUCAGGAGGUUAGUGCAAUGGCAUAAGCCAGCUUGACUGCGAGCGUGACGGCGCGAGCAGGUGCGAAAGCAGGUCAUAGUGAUCCGGUGGUUCUGAAUGGAAGGGCCAUCGCUCAACGGAUAAAAGGUACUCCGGGGAUAACAGGCUGAUACCGCCCAAGAGUUCAUAUCGACGGCGGUGUUUGGCACCUCGAUGUCGGCUCAUCACAUCCUGGGGCUGAAGUAGGUCCCAAGGGUAUGGCUGUUCGCCAUUUAAAGUGGUACGCGAGCUGGGUUUAGAACGUCGUGAGACAGUUCGGUCCCUAUCUGCCGUGGGCGCUGGAGAACUGAGGGGGGCUGCUCCUAGUACGAGAGGACCGGAGUGGACGCAUCACUGGUGUUCGGGUUGUCAUGCCAAUGGCACUGCCCGGUAGCUAAAUGCGGAAGAGAUAAGUGCUGAAAGCAUCUAAGCACGAAACUUGCCCCGAGAUGAGUUCUCCCUGACUCCUUGAGAGUCCUGAAGGAACGUUGAAGACGACGACGUUGAUAGGCCGGGUGUGUAAGCGCAGCGAUGCGUUGAGCUAACCGGUACUAAUGAACCGUGAGGCUUAACCUUACAACGCCGAAGC